GUGAGGAAUACAUCUUUCCGUGCCCGAUCGUGGGGGGUAACUGAUCGUAAGAUUGGCUAAUACCUCGUACGAGCUAAUGAUGAAAGCAGGGGAUCGCCCGACCUUGCUCGUAUGGAKCGGCCGAUGGCGGAUUAGGUAGUUGGYGCGAUAAAAGGGUACCAAGCCAAUAAUCUGUCGCUGGGCUGAUGAGACAACCAGCCACACUGGGACUGAGACACGGCCCAC
rnacentral:rRNA from 1 species